UACGUAGGGGGCAAGCGUUUGUCCGGAUUUACUGGGCGUAAAGAGCGUGUAGGCGGCCAAGCAGGUCCGUUGUGAAAACUGGAGGCUCAACCUCGAGACGUCGAUGGAAACCAUCUGGCUAGAGUCCGGAAGAGGAGAGUGGAAUUCCUGGUGUAGCGGUGAAAUGCGCAGAUAUCAGGAAGAACACCCGUGGCGAAGGCGGCUCUCUGGUACGUGACUGACGCUGAGACGCGAAAGCGUGGGGAGCAAACAGG
rnacentral:rRNA from 1 species